rnacentral:rRNA from 1 species
UACGAAGGGGGCUAGCGUUGCUCGGAAUCACUGGGCGUAAAGCGCACGUAGGCGGAUCUUUAAGUCAGGGGUGAAAUCCUGGAGCUCAACUCCAGAACUGCCUUUGAUACUGGGGAUCUCGAGUCCGGGAGAGGUGAGUGGAACUCCGAGUGUAGAGGUGAAAUUCGUAGAUAUUCGGAAGAACACCAGUGGCGAAGGCGGCUCACUGGCCCGGUACUGACGCUGAUGCGCGAAAGCCAGGGGAGCGAACGGG